rnacentral:rRNA from 1 species
GUGCUUGGGCGAGAGUAGUACUAGGAUGGGUGACCCCCUGGGAAGUCCUCGUGUUGCACCCCUUUGUUGC